CCUACGGGAGGCAGCAGUAGGGAAUAUUGGGCAAUGGAGGCAACUCUGACCCAGCCAUGCCGCGUGUAGGAAGAAGGCUUUCUGAGUUGUAAACUACUUUUGAUCGGGAACAAAGAGCCCUUGCGAGGGAAGUUGAGUGUACCGAUAGAAUAAGCACCGGCUAACUCCGUGCCAGCAGCCGCGGUAAUACGGAGGGUGCAAGCGUUGUCCGGAUUUAUUGGGUUUAAAGGGUGCGUAGGCGGUCUUUUAAGUCAGUGGUGAAAUCCUGCAGCUCAACUGUAGAAUUGCCGUUGAUACUGGAAGACUUGAGUACAGACGAGGUAGGCGGAAUUUAUGGUGUAGCGGUGAAAUGCAUAGAUACCAUAAAGAACACCUAUUGCGAAGGCAGCUUACUAGGCUGUAACUGACGCUGAGGCACGAAAGCGUGGGGAUCAAACAGG
rnacentral:rRNA from 1 species